UACAGAGGUGGCAAGCGUUGUUCGGAAUUACUGGGCGUAAAGGGCGCGUAGGCGGCUCGCUAAGUCAGACGUGAAAUCCCCCGGCUUAACCUGGGAACUGCGUCUGAUACUGGCAAGCUCGAGUGCGGGAGAGGGAUGUGGAAUUCCAGGUGUAGCGGUGAAAUGCGUAGAUAUCUGGAGGAACACCGGUGGCGAAGGCGGCAUCCUGGACCGACACUGACGCUGAGGCGCGAAAGCUAGGGGAGCAAACGGG
rnacentral:rRNA from 1 species